AAUGCAGCAGCGAGUUCCUAGAGCAGGAUGGAGGACAGAGGAGAUGGCGGCCUUGCAUCCUGGAACUCCAUCUCUGUUCUGUGCAGGCAAUGCGAGGAGCCAGAC
rnacentral:miRNA from 1 species